UUGGACAGCCUUGUUAUCUCCCCUCCAAUUCGGUCUCCAAUUGGAAUUUUGGGCCAUGUAAGUGUUGGCUUGCCUUGUGUUCCCCUUUCUCUUUAAUUGUCUUUCAAUCUUUAUAGCCAUGUGCACCAUAUCAUCAAUCUCCACAUAAUGUUGAAGCUCUACAAUGUUGGCUAUGUCUUUGUUAAGGCCAUUUAAGAACCUUGCCAUAGUAGCUUCCCUAUCAUCUUCAAUAUUAGGCCUUAUCAUGGCUAUCUCCAUCUCUUUGUAGUAGUCUUCUACGCUCUUAUUCCCUUGUAUAAGGCCUUGCAAUUUUUGAUGUAAGUCCCUAUAGUAGU
rnacentral:lncRNA from 1 species